rnacentral:rRNA from 1 species
CGCAUCUGUGCAUGCAGCAUAUCAAUAAGCGGAGGAAAAGAAACUAACAAGGAUUCCCCUAGUAACGGCGAGUGAAGCGGGAAGAGCUCAAAUUUGAAAUCUUAAAGGGUUUCCCUUUACGAAUUGUAGUUUAAAGAAGUGUUUUCUGUUGAGGUUUUGGUAAAAGUUCUUUGGAAUAGGACAUCAUAGAGGGUGAGAAUCCCGUAUUUGACCUUUACUUUCAACUUUGUGAUACACUUUCAAAGAGUCGGAUUGUUUGGGAAUGCAGUCCAAAAUGGGUGGUAAAUUUCAUCUAAAGCUAAAUAUUGGAGAGAGACCGAUAGCGAACAAGUACCGUGAGGGAAAGAUGAAAAGAACUUUGAAAAGAGAGUUAAACAGUACGUGAAAUUGUCAAAAGGGAAGCGUUUGACACCAGUGUUGUUUUUCUGAAAAUCAAUUAAAGAACUGUUUAUGCUAAGCUGUUUAGACUUUAUCAGCUAAUCUGUUUAGUUUUGAGCUUUUCUUUAAUGCACUUUUCAGUUAACAAGUCAACAUCAAUUUCUUUUGCUGUAAAAAAGCUUGAGGAGGUGGCUUGAGAUUCGUCUUAAGUGUUUAUAGCCUCUUGCCUACGCAGUCGGAGAGAUUGAGGUCUGCAGCGUAGAUCCUUCGGGGCUAAAUGCAUUUGUGCUAAGUUAUAACAUUUUAUAGACAACUUGUUGACUAUGAUUUGUCUUGUAGCUUACUCGCUUAUGUUAUUUUACCUACGCUUAGGAUGUUGAGCGCAUGUCUCUCUCU